GCUGGCGGCGCGCUUACACAUGCAAGUCGAGCGAGAAAGUGGAGCAAUCCAUGAGUAAAGCGGCGUACGGGUGAGUAACACGUGGGUAAUCUACCUCUUAGUGGGGAAUAACCCUGGGAAACCGGGGCUAAUACCGCAUAAGCCUGAGAAGGGAAAGCAGCAAUGCGCUGAGAGAGGAGCCCGCGGCCGAUUAGCUAGUUGGUGAGGUAAUGGCUCACCAAGGCGACGAUCGGUAGCCGGCCUGAGAGGGCACACGGCCACACUGGCACUGAAACACGGGCCAGACUCCUACGGGAGGCAGCAGUGGGGAAUCUUGCACAAUGGAGGAAACUCUGAUGCAGCGACGCCGCGUGAGCGAUGAAGCCCUUCGGGGUGUAAAGCUCUUUCGGCAGGAACGAUUAUGACGGUACCUGCAGAAGAAGCUGCGGCUAACUACGUGCCAGCAGCCGCGGUAAUACGUAGGCAGCGAGCGUUGUUCGGAAUUACUGGGCGUAAAGAGUGUGUAGGCGGUGCUCUAAGUUCGGUGUGAAAUCUCCUGGCUUAACUGGGAGGGUGCGCCGGAAACUGGAGUGCUCGAACGUGGGAGAGGAAAGCGGAAUUCCUGGUGUAGCGGUGAAAUGCGUAGA
rnacentral:rRNA from 1 species